UACGUAGGGUGCAAGCGUUAAUCGGAAUUACUGGGCGUAAAGCGUGCGCAGGCGGCUUUGCAAGACAGAUGUGAAAUCCCCGGGCUCAACCUGGGAACUGCAUUUGUGACUGCAUGGCUGGAGUGCGGCAGAGGGGGAUGGAAUUCCGCGUGUAGCAGUGAAAUGCGUAGAUAUGCGGAGGAACACCGAUGGCGAAGGCAAUCCCCUGGGCCUGCACUGACGCUCAUGCACGAAAGCGUGGGGAGUAAACAGG
rnacentral:rRNA from 1 species